GCGAGGACAAUCUACUGGGAGAAGGGACAUUUGGCAAGGUAUAUAGAGGUUCUUUUCAUGGUACUCCAGCAGCUGUUAAAAGGAUCGUGUGUGGCCAACAAGGGAUGGAGGACAGCGACAUUCAUCAUGAGAUAAAUGUUUCACUGAGACUGUCUCACCCCAACAUCGUCAGACUAAUGGCAGUUGCCCGCACUGAGUCCUGCUUUUUGUUGGCAGCUGAAUACAUUCAUGGCGCAACCCUGCAGCAAGUGCUUCACACAGACAGCUGCUUGGUGAAGGUCCCAUUAUAUAUUGUCUUGAUAGCUUGAAGGGGAU